CUCUUAUGGUCCGUUUUGUGCCAAAGUUAUGCUACACCAUCAUGAAUAUUAUCCAUUCUACAUGGACUAGAUAAAUCAUCAGACAAAGCAGCCUGCAAAAAGCCAGAGUUGCACAGCUUUUGCAGGAACAUUUUGUCAUCAAUGGCACUAGCCAUUGCUUCUACUGCAUUGUCAAGCCUCCCAACAAGGGAAUUGCAUAAAAAAAUUUCUCUAGGAAAAUUCACAACUUGCUUACCUGGGAGGAGGACUAGCCAUUUAGAUGCAACAAAAGGAGUUUCAAGCGUAUGUGAACCACUUCCUCCGGAUAGGCCAUUGUGGUUCCCUGGCAGUUCACCUCCUGAGUGGCUUGAUGGCAGUCUUCCUGGCGAUUUUGGCUUCGACCCACUUGGAUUAGGAGGAAUGAAGCUAAUGGCCCGAGUGAUAGGGAUGCAUAUAUAUAUAUAUAUAUAUAUAUAUGGAUUGGGAUGGCUAAGUGCAAUUCUACUGAUUCUCUCACAGAUUUUUUUUACUUUCUUUACUUUUUUUUUUUUUUUUUAUUUACUUUUACUUAUUUUUUAUAUUGAAUGGCUGAGAUUUAAAGUUGUUUUUUGCAACUUUAAAUCUCAACCAUCCAUACCAAUUACAAUCUUAGUCAACUAAUUUAAAUUUAUAAGUUUGCAAUCUUAGUCAGAGUGGUGGGGUAGUACGGCUGCCCGAAUGGGACAAAUUAAAGGGUACAUAGGUAUAUGUCGAAAAAGCAAUUGCAACUAAUCUCAAUACUGAUUCACCACAAGGUCGAGUGUAGUACACCCACCAAUAGUAUUCUGCAAUAUCAGAUUUUAUUUUAUUUUUUGGACCUAAUCAAUACACACUUUUCUUACUUUGAUUCCUUGGUCGUAAUAAGGAGUUUCCAUAAUUAGGUCGGGUGUAUUACACCUACCAGUAGCAUUCUGCCAUGUCGGAAUUUCUUAAAGCUA